CAAAAUAUAGUAGAAUCAGGUGCUUGACUCUCUGACGGAGAGUUCGAGCUUAAUAGGGAAGCGCGGUGCGAAUCCGCUGCGGUCCCGCCACUGUAACCGGAUGCCCCUCCUCAGGCGAGGACGAGGGCGGCAUCUUCCGGCAUAGGGCCACUGAGAGCGCAAGGCAGCUCUUCGGGAAGGCGCCGGAAGAACAGACGGAAGCCAGGAGACCUGCCUGUUUCUUAGAGACACC
rnacentral:ncRNA from 2 species